GACGAACGCUGGCGGCGUGCCUAACACAUGCAAGUCGAACGGAAAGGCCCUGCUUUUGUGCGGUUCUCGAGUGGCGAACGCGUGAGUAACACGUGAGUAACCUGCCCUUGACUUUGGGAUAACUUCACGAAACUGGGGCUAAUACCGGAUAGGAGCUCCUGCUGCAUUGUGGGGGUUGGAAAGUUUCGGCGGUAGGAGCUGGACUCGCGGCUUACCACCUUGUUGGUUGGGUAGUGGCUUACCAAGCCUUUGAAGGCUAGCCGGCCUGGGAGGGGGGACGGCGACAAUGGGCCUACGGGACGGACCAGACGCGAACAGGAGGCAGUGGUGGGAAAUAUGACACAGUGGGAGGGAGUGUGAUGAGGAGGCGCCGGGUGCGGGAUGACGGCCUUUGGGGUAAGAACAGCUGUCGCCUGUGACGAAGCGUGAGUGACGGUAAUGAAUAAAGAAGCACCGGCUAACUACGUG
rnacentral:rRNA from 1 species